AUAAACCUAGAUAUGUCAGACAAUUCUAAUACCCUGUCUGACUUCCAGUCCUCAAUGGAUUAUUGCAAAUUCACCAGUAGCCAUUUGUCCUCACGAGAAGCAGCAUCCCUCGCCUGCGUAAUCCAGGAAAAAAAGAGAGAUCAAUUUCAACUUGUAUACAUAUUAUGCUGCAGUGGAUUGGAUACAAUCAGAAAGGUGAACAUUACCUCCUCAUCAAAGGAAUCAUGAAACAUUAUCUCAGAAGAGGCUAGGGAAAAUAUAUGUAGGCAACAUUAACUUGAGAUUUGUGUUUUGUGGAUAACUUAGUACCUGGGUUGUUAGAGUACUGUUCGGGCUCAACAUGUUUCUUCUGUCCACCAAUAAUUGCUUUCUGUCUCAACCUGAAGAUGUUCGGGUAGGUGGGAGUUCUUGCGCAACCAGAUGAAGAUAGGGUGGGCUGUAUACUUGUGUGAAAUUUAUUGUAUCACACGAUUUCUGGUCCCUUAACUUUGGACUAAUAUUCACAAAGAAAGCAAAUGGAAAUAAAUCAAGUUAACAAGAAAGUCCAGUUAUAUGGAAAAAAAGGAUGCUCAAUGUAAAUUGAUAGUAUGUAAUAUAAAUUAUAAUUUCCAUGUCAAGAAAAUAGCAGAUGGCUUUCCAGCUGACGCAGAUGACAGUCGAAGAGAACCAGCUUUUGCAAGAUCAUCAGGCUUGGUCGCUGAAUAGACUCUUGUGCCUCUUGCACGCCAAUUUCUUUCUUAAUGAAGUCCAAGUUCUCUGUAAGAACCUCAGUCUUAUUCACUGUUAGCAAUGGUUCAGGUUCCUCCUUAACACAUAUUAAGAGCUCAACAUUCACGUCUUCUCCUGUUGAAUUUGAGGCAAGUUCUGGAACAUAACCCUUCUCAUUGUCUCUCUUUAGACCCUGACUCUUCUCAUAUCUAAAUUCAUGUUCAAUCUGUUUCUUAUUCAAGAAUCAACCAACUCUUUCAAUAUACUCAUUGGCUCUUUGAAGGGAAUCAUAAGGAGCAUUUGCAGCAGGCCAUCCUGCACAGGCCCGGACCUGAGAUUUUGAGGCCUGAGUCGAACUCUUAGAGUUGGGUCCCUAAUUUUUUUUUAUAUAUAUAAAAUAGCAUAUAACAUCCAAAAAUAUAUAAGAUUUUUAUGCAAAAUACUUAUUAUGCAAAUAGGAUUCCAAAACCUUGAUGGUUUAGUAAUCUUAAUGCAAAUAGGAUUCCAAAACCUUGAUGGUUUAGUAAUCUUAAUUGUAUUAUAAAUCCUAUCUAUACAACAAAUAUCUUACCUAAUCGUGUUUGGCUGCUUCUAUUUAAUAUUUUAACUUUUUUAUGGGUACAAAUUUAAAGUAGUAAUUGAUGGUUUGGGCCUCUCAUCACGUGUAAUUGUCUUUGAUUUAAGAUAGUUGUCUUUAAUUCAUGUUAGAUUGCACAGCUAAAAAGCUAUUGAAAAAAAAAAAAAAUCUGGACAACUAUAAAUUUUUUUUUAGGCCCCUUAGAUUUUUGGGCCCUGAGUCCCAAGCCUCUUAUGCCUCUAUUCAAAUCCGGGCCUGAUCCUGCAUGACCACAAUCUAUUGUUGGAAAUUAUGUCUUAAUAUGAAUGAAAAUUAAAAUUACUCAUGAGUCAUGACCUUUCAAUUUGAAAAGAUACAUGUCUUUUCCCAAUAGAUGUUUUUAGGAAUUAGUGUCUCUUUGACGAACAUGUUGGUUCACUUAGGGUUCUAUAUAAAUCCAUAAUCAUAUAUCCUAAAAAAUCAAGUUAAGAUGAAAUUGUGAAGUUAAUCAUGAUUAGCAAGAACAAGAAAGAGCAAUGAGUUCUUCAUUUCUUCUACAAGUCUUCUUCGUGUCAAGAGAAUACAAAAUACAAUUUAAGGUUCACUAGACCUCAAAAUUGUGGUGCUUCUAUUUUGGAUCAUUGAUUGUUGUAUUCUACCAGAUAGAAGCCCAUCGAACUACAAGCACAAAGGUAGGGCGAAAUCUACCUCAAGUCUAGUGCAUUUGACAUGCCUCAAUAUAUAAGAAAAAUCAAGUGAGCUCUUUCCUUUUCUUAUAUUGCUUUUAUAGGAUUCAUAGACUAUUAAUUGUACUCAUAUUUUAAGAUUGAACCAUUACCUACAAUCUCAGUCGUACAUUGUUCUCUUUUUGCUGUCAAUUCUUA
rnacentral:lncRNA from 1 species